ACGAAACUACGAAAGGGCAGCUUUCACGAAUCUUAAUCUAUAACCUUUGCGUGAGUUCUUCCCCUUGUCUCCAGCCUCUAGGUUUUAUUUUUCUUGUUCCUUCCUCUCUUUUCUUUUGCUUCGUGAUCCAUACUCGAUUAACGAAUCAGUUCCGAACCAAGCGCGGAUCGGCCCGGCAGGAAAGGGAACUGCUUACGUCAACCUGGUUUUUCUAGAGACCCUGCUACACGUUUUUGAAGGGUCUUGCUUAUGCUGCUAGAGGUGUAAAGUCUUGCGUGCUAAGUGCGAGUUGAAUUCGAGUUCUGUUCAGUUCUUGAAGUUAUCAAGUUGGACAAAAGAGAUGAAAUGAAAAUGUAUUAUUUAUGCACUUGGCUAUGAUGUAAUGGACCUGGAAGGCAAGAAGUUUGGAAGAGGUAUUUAUUUUUAAAUUUGAG